GCUAAGGUGGCAGAGCCCGGUAAUUGCGAAAGGCCUAAGCCCUUUUUCUCAGAGGUUCAAACCCUCUCCUUAGCUAUGAUCACGAGCCUAAUCAC
rnacentral:tRNA from 1 species